rnacentral:lncRNA from 1 species
AUUAAUCGUGAAAAUAAAUUAGGGAAAACUUCAAAAAUCUCCCAUGUGGUUUCACUUUUUUUCACUUUAGUAUCCUGUGGUUUAAAAUGUAUCAAAUCAGUAUCCUGUGGUUUUUCACUUUAUCACUUUAGUACCAUGUGAUUUAAAAUGUACCAAGUUAGUACCCUGUGGUUUUGCAUUUUAUCACUUUAGUACCCUGUGAUUUAUAUAAACCAUAGGGUACCAAAGUGAUAAAGUGUAAAAUCAUAGGGUACUAAAGUGAUAAAGUGAGAAAUCAUAGGGUACUAACUUGAUACAUUUUAAACCACAGGAUACUAAAGUAAAAAAAAGUGAAACCACAGGAUACUAAAGUGAAAAAAAGUGAAACCACAUGGUACUAACUUGAUGCAUUUCAAACCAUAGGAUACUAAAAUGAAAAAGUAUGAAACCACAGGGGGGGUUUUUGAAGUUUUUCCAAUAAACUAAUAGAAAAAAAUAAUAAAAAAACUUAAAAUUUAAAUUUGCCUGCUUUUGUGUUAAUGUAAAAAUUUUUAGUGAACCUCCAAAGCCAUGAACUUGAAAAGUAGUUUCAACCUUAAAUCUAUCAUGGAUAAAUAAACAAGCUGGUUGUUGAUUUUUCUUUUAUCAGAGAAAAUUGAUUGGGUAUUUGACGUAUUUAAAUUUUGAAGUCAAAAUAUUAUUGCCUAACUUAAAUUAAACAAAUAGAAAAAUUAUAUAGUAAAAUUAAAGUUUGAAAGGUUGUAUAGCUGAUCAAAAUAAUCUAUAGUUCAAAUAAAUUAUGUACGUUCUAAUCUUCAAAAACAGUA